rnacentral:snRNA from 1 species
CAAUGAAUGAAAAUGGUAAAA